GCAGUCUGCCAUGGCAUUACAAAUUCGAAACCACUUUGUGAAUUUUGUGUUGGAUCUUGCAUAAUUCUGAAACAUUAAUGCUCCUCUCCAAUUCAUUCUUGGGUUAUCUGGCUAGUUACAAGUAAAUCUGGUGGAUUAGUUAUGGGCAAUGAAUUAUGAACUUGUCCCUUAGGCACAUUGAACUAUCCCAAGGUUUUCUAGUCCUUGGGUGGACGAACCCUUCAUACUUUGAGGCGAGAAUAAAUUAUACUCUUAAGCUCAUAAUUUUUCCCAAAUUAAUUAUCAAAAUUUAUGGAUCUUUACAGGUACACAGAGUCGAAAUGUUGGAGAGAUUGGAACGCUGGAUGCUUCGUGGAGGCUGAUUAUCGCUCCUGUUGAGAUUGGGUUUUCCCCCUUCAGCCAAUCUUUAACUGUGAUUAUGGAUUCCAUUAAAUCAUUUUAUCGUGACGCUUGGAGUUCCUGGGGAGAGAUACCUGUCUUUGACAGAGAACAAAUGUGGAAUCACUUUAAGACGAAGUGCGUAUGGUAUACCGAACAUGAUUAUCAAAUAUUUUAUAAUUUUGAGAUAGCCGCUGCUUUUAUGCUUAAUAAUUUCUUGUGGAGUGCUUGGGAAAGGAACCAGAAGCCCGAUUGGAUUCUAGAAGGUUUAUGGGCUAGACUUAAUGAAAAGUGAACCACUGAGAAAUUUCAAAAGAUAAGCAUCCAACAUGUUGAGAAAAAUAAGAAAGAUGGUCAUAGUACUUUGUUUGAGCCACAUGUUGAGAGGACAAAUGUAAGAUCUUAGCUUCAGAGCUAAUAUGUUUUCCUUA